rnacentral:rRNA from 1 species
AUUGAACGCUGGCGGCAGGCCUAACACAUGCAAGUCGAACGAGUGGCGGACGGGUGGGUAAUGUCUGGGAAACUGCCUGACGGAGGGGGAUAACUGCUGGAAACGGUAGCUAAUACCGCAUACCAUCAGAUGGGCCCAGAUGGGAUUAGCUAGUUGGUGGGGUAACGGCUCACCACGGCGACGAUCCCUAGCUGGUCUGAGAGGAUGACCAGCCACACUGGAACUGAGACACGGUCCAGACGCCUACGGGAGGCAGCAGUGGGGAAUAUUGGACAAUGGGCGAAAGCCUGAUGGAGCCAUGCCGCGUGUAUGAAGAAGGCCUUCGGGUUGUAAAGUACUUUCAGCGGGGAAGCGUUACCCGCAGAAGAAGCACCGGCUAACUCCGUGCCAGCAGCCGCGGUAAUUC